GUCACCCUGAACAAGCCCGAUGUCUGAUCUCGGAAGCUAAGCAGGGUCGGGCCUGGUUAGUACUUGGAUGGGUGACCGCCCAGGAAGACCAGGUGCUGUAGGUG
rnacentral:rRNA from 1 species